GGCACUUGCAACUUUAUUGCGCCAGCAAGAACAUGCAUACAGCCCAGUCUAACGUACAGGAUCAAAAAGAGACCUUAUUUCGGCUGGCAAUUACCUUACCCGCUUGUUCAUUAUCUGACUCCUGCACUCCUCCCAAGUGUUCAAUGUUAACCAGAUGGCAAAGUUAACCAGACAGAGGAAAUCCACAUAAUUACUCUAGAUGAAGCCCCCUAACUGCGGAUUAGAAGGAAAAGAGAUGAAGGGUGCUGCACUAAUAAUAACAACCAUUUUCAACCAAGGCAGGAUUCUGGGCCUAGAAUCUUCAGUGACAAAUUACCAGGAGAGGAGGAGGGAAAUGAAGAGCUGGAGGCCUAGGGAGAUGGUGUGAGGAGAGGAGACUGUGCCUUUCCACUUCUUAAUAAUUAAUGUUCUCCUGCUGCUCUGAGUCUGCAUCACCAGUGAUUCAGUUUGAGUCAGACAUCCAACAACAACUGAGCAAAAGAAUCAUCUCAGAUCCAAGCAAUGGUGACGCGCAGAUAGAAGAGACUGAGGCCAACGACCAAAGCAAAGGACAGCAGAACUGACUGACACAGCUCAGAAAAUAUCCAAAGCUCUGGUCUUGCUCUGUCACCCACACUGGAGUGCAAUGCCACCAUCUUGGCUCACUGCAGCCUUGACCUCCUUGGGCUCAAGUGAUCCUCCUGCUUCAGCCUACCAUGUAGCUGGGACUACAGGUAUGCUCUGGAAAGGAAGACAAGAAAUGCUAAAGACUCUGGAUAUUGCUCUGUUUCUAUAAGGUCCCACCCAUAUACCAUCUCUUCUUUUGGAUUUCCUUUGGCAGGGUUCCCUUGUAUGGAAGUUCUCAGGAGAACAACACUCUCAGAGUCCCACUGUCUCAAAGAAUUCUUAAUGGACAGCUAUACUUGGCCCCAAGGUUUCAACCUCACACUGAAGAAAGUGACAUAAGAAAACACAAGUCCCAGUGCUAUCAGGGGCUAUCUGGAAAAGCUGCUUAAACAGCAAGUGAAAGAAGGCUCUCCCCUACCCCGUUCUAGUUAUAAACAUCACAUCUCUUAACAUACGGCCAAGAUGAUGAAGCUGAUGGAGUACGAUGGUGUUCAAACUUAGAUAAGCUAAUUCAAUAGACAACUAGAAAUGCCAAUGAGUCUAUCAUGACAGGUCCUAUGUAAGAUACACAUACCACAUGCUGUCAACCCAUCUGAGACACUCAGCUUUCAAAUGACAGUUCUUCUCUGAAGCUAACCUAGCCAAAAGAGUGAAAUACACUAUCUGUUAAGCUGUGUCAGUAGCUAAGUCUGUGUGUCUAAAUUAAAAACAUACUCACCCUGAAGUUAUUUGAAGGAUCCUUGAGACUCUUUUGGAUUGCUGCUUGGAGAACAUUCCUGUAACUUGUCCCUGCUCCUUGAACUAUAAAAGCAGAAGGGAGGUACUGAGUUAAAACUUACAAAUUAUUAUCAAAUAAAUCUUCAAUAGUGGUUCAGUCCAA
rnacentral:lncRNA from 1 species